AAUGGCGUCGAAAAUCAUUAAAUGACCUCUUUAAAGUACAAUUUACACAAUUUGAGCUUUCAAAAAAGUUGCUACACUUAUACAUCGGAGUGAGUUUACUAAGAAAAAACGUGUCUAAAGUAUAGUACAAAGAAGAAGAAAUAAACAGCAUUGUAAAACCAAUACCUCCCACGUCACGCUAUAAUUGUGUCACUUUCGGAGG